GAUGAACGCUAGCGGGAGGCUUAACACAUGCAAGUCGAGGGGUAACAGGGGUAGCAAUACCUGCUGACGACCGGCGUACGGGUGAGUAACGCGUAUGCAACCUGCCCUAUACAGGAGGAUAGCCCGGAGAAAUUCGGAUUAAUACUCCAUGUAGCAUUUUUUUCGCAUGAAUUAGAUGUUAAAGAUUUAUCGGUAUAGGAUGGGCAUGCGUCCCAUUAGCUAGUUGGUGAGGUAACGGCUCACCAAGGCAUCGAUGGGUAUGGGGUCUUAAAGGAUGGUCCCACACACUGGCACUGAGACACGGGCCAGACUCCUACGGGAGGCAGCAGUGAGGAAUAUUGGUCAAUGGGUGCAAGCCUGAACCAGCCAUCCCGCGUGCAGGAUGACGGUCCUAGUGAUUGUAAACUGCUUUUCUAUGAGAUGAAUAAGAAUUACGUGUAGUUCGAUGACCGUAUUAUAGGAAUAAGCAUCGGCUAACUCCGUG
rnacentral:rRNA from 1 species